rnacentral:rRNA from 1 species
UACGAAGGGUGCAAGCGUUACUCGGAAUUACUGGGCGUAAAGCGUGCGUAGGUGGUUUGUUAAGUCUGAUGUGAAAGCCCUGGGCUCAACCUGGGAAUUGCAUUGGAUACUGGCAGGCUAGAGUGCGGUAGAGGAUGGCGGAAUUCCCGGUGUAGCAGUGAAAUGCGUAGAGAUCGGGAGGAACAUCUGUGGCGAAGGCGACUAUCUGGCUGACAACUGACGCUGAGACUCGAAAGCAUGGGGAGCAAACAGG